rnacentral:rRNA from 1 species
UUAGUCUUAUAAUUUAAGACUGGAAUGAAAGGGAAAAUCAAAGAAAAAAUCUAUUUAUAAGAACCUUUAAAAUUUUCCUUUUAGUAAAAAGACUAAAAUAUCUCUCUCAGACAAGAAGACCCUAUAAAUCUUUACACAUAUUUUUAUUUAAAUUAAAUGUUUGUGUUAGACUGGGGCGGUCAAGAAUAAUAAACAUUCUUAAAUUUUACAAAAUUAUUUUAAUUCCCAGAAGUUCUGAAAAUUACUAAGAUACUUUAGGGAUAACAGCGUAAUUUUAUUUUAGAGCUCUUAUCGACAAUAAAGCUUGCGACCUCGAUGUUGAAUUAAAUCUCCUUCAUUACGAAAAAAGAA